rnacentral:rRNA from 1 species
UCGGGAAUUUUGGGCAAUGGGCGAAAGCCUGACCCAGCAACGCCGCGUGAAGGAUGAAGUAUUUCGGUAUGUAAACUUCGAAAGAAUAGGAAGAAUAAAUGACGGUACUAUUUAUAAGGUCCGGCUAACUACGUGCCAGCAGCCGCGGUAAUACGUAGGGACCAAGCGUUGUUCGGAUUUACUGGGCGUAAAGGGCGCGUAGGCGGCAAUUCAAGUCAUCUGUGAAAUCUCCGGGCUUAACUCGGAACGGUCAGACGAUACUGCUUUGCUAGAGUGCAGAAGGGGCAAUCGGAAUUCUUGGUGUAGCGGUGAAAUGCGUAGAUAUCAAGAGGAACACCUGAGGUGAAGACGGGUUGCUGGGCUGACACUGACGCUGAGGCGCGAAAGCUAGGGUAGCAAACGGGAUUAGAUACCCCCGUAGUCCCUGAGCGGGCUGGCAAGGCGCAU